rnacentral:rRNA from 1 species
AUAAAUUUAAUGGCUGCAGUAUAAAUAACUGUACAAAGGUAGCAUAAUCAAUUGAUUUUUAAAUGAAAUCUGGAAUAAAAGAAUUAAUGAAAUAUAUACUGUCUCAUAUAUAUAAUAUAAAUUUAAAAUUUUAAUAAAAAUGUUAAAAUUUAUUUAUGGGACGAUAAGACCCUAUAGAAUUUUAUAUUAAAUUAUUUUUAUAAAUAUUAAAUAUAAAAUUUAAAUUAAUAUUUAAUUGGGAGAAUUAUUAAAUUUAAAAAAUUUUAAUUUUUAAAAAC